UUCAGCAUUAGCAUCUUCAGCAUUUUCAGCAGCCACAUUCAGCUUCCAGCAUUCACACGAGCAUUAUCGCAGGUAAUGUAACUUUCUAGUUAAGUUAAUCUUUGGUCAAAUGAUUCACUGGCUGCAGUUCAUUAGUGAUAUUUCUCUUUCUUCUCCCUUUUCUUGCAUUUAUGCAAUAUUCAUAAAAUAACAUCAUUUUGCAUCAAAAAUAGUUCAUAAAUAUCUGUUUUUAAACAUUAUAUUUAGUAAAAUGGAUUCUAAAGAAAAGCAAAGAUUAAAAAAAAGUAGGAAUUUCUUUAAAAAAAUAAAUACUUGGUUUUGGCUGAACAACAAUCUGGUCUUUUUUAGUCUAAGGCGAACACGCCUGUGAAACAGAGAAACUAAACUGACACUGAAAUUCAGCAAUAAUCGGAAUAAUUCCUUUUAUGUGCCGCCUGCAUUAUUGUUAUUAAUUUAUUUCUUUUUUGGGGUCCAUAUAAAAAAAUCUUCACUUUUAAUUUAGAUUUUUUUCCUCUAAAAUCUCCAUUCCUAAAAAGACAUUAGACUGUCACAGUCUGUCAGUUCUGCUGUUUUACCUCAUUCUUGUGUUUCCUGUGCAGGCUGCUGGAAGGCUCCGCCCCCUCUCCUGUGGAGUGGUGCACAGCUGCCUGCACUUUAGUUUCAUUCGUUUGAGCUCUAUUUAAGUGUUUCUGAUUGUGGCCUCUGUGUCGCUUUAGUUUAAUUCUGUUUGUGGAGUUUUCCACCUUUUCUUAUCACAGAAUCUUCUCUCCAUCUUCUUGCCUUCGUAUCAUCCUGAUACGCUGUGACAUGGACAGGCUGGAGUCGGCAGCCUCCACGGCGGCUCUCUGUCUGUCCGGAAUAUCAAGCGAGAGAGCUCCGCCGCGGGAGUGAAAACCAGCGAAAAAAGCCGGAUGAACUCUGCAACCCCGCGGCUCAAAGGAAAGAGAUGGAAGUUCAGGACAUAACCGCUCGCUUUGGACUAGUAUUCUACCCGCUGAAAAUGUCACGUGACCAAAACUGAGUUCCUGAUUGGCCGAUGAGACGCAGCAACCUGUCAAAGCUCAGAUAUUUAACAUUUUUUCUUCCCCCCCCCCCACUUUCACCCUCUCUUCCCUCUGUCAAAAAUAAAAUAAAAUAUUCAUGCAUAAAACACAAAAUGUAAUGAAUACAAAAAUUAAAUAAACAAAAGGGGUUUAUACAAAUAUGCAGCCUGGGUGUUAUUACAUACAUAACCCAUAUUGUAAAAGUAAAAUUUGUCCAACACAAAAGGCCUUCAGCUGUUGGACAGGACAAGUUAAAAGAAAAAAAAAGGAUAUUUAAAUUUUGGCCACGCUGUGAAAUUCAAAUCGCGCUGCAGAACUUCCGAUCGCCUCACGUCUGUUCCAUUGACUAAACAUUGAAACUUAAUAAGCUUCAUGAGCUUCUGCCUGUUCCUUUCAUUAUUGGUUGUUUUUUUUGUUUAAACUCUAUAUUGUGUUAACAGAACAAAUAACAUAAAAACGGCCACCUCCACCGCGAGAAUCGCACUUUAAUAAACCAUCUGUACGUGCACAGACUGCGUCUAGAACACCUCUUGCAUCUUUUUGGAGGCAUCAUCAAGCGUUUUUUUCUUCCAUUCGGGCAUCAAGUCAUCCAGGUAGCUGAGCUCCCGUUUAGAGAAGCACAAGUCCAGCAGCUUUCUGAUGAAGACCAGAGCCAGCACCUGCAAAGAAAAGGUGAGAUCUCACUGAAGGAGCACGAGAGAGGGAUGGAUGAAGACGUAAUCACAGGAGUUUACCAUCAUGGGGAAGACGAUGGCGGCGGGGGACGUCUUGAUAACCCACAGCAGAACCAGACAGGUGAGCUGGGUGACCGUGAACAGGUGCACCUUCCUUAAAGGGACGUGGCGCAGGUAAAUGAAGUCGGGCUGGUGCUUCGCUGGCAUCCCGAACAGCUUCAGACGGUCGAAGAACUAAAAAAGCCGAAAAACAAAACCAACUACAAUGUUGAGCUUUGAUUUGAGAUCAUUUUACAUCCAGGAAUUCAUUAUGUUGUGGAGCUGUUAAAACAGCUUUAAAGACUCCAGAUGAUUAUGUUUUCUUGGUGUUUUUAACAUGUUUGAGUAUUUCUGUAUUCAAAUUGUUGUGAAUCAGGAAAUAACGAAAAAAUGACAUUGGAAUAAAAGAGCACAUUUGUGACUUAGAAAAUGACAAGUUUUUUUUUUAUUUGAACGUCAUAAUUAUAAUGAAAAGACCUCUGUGAUGAUCAGAGUGGUAUGAAUUUCAUAACAUUUUUAGAAUGUUUGUAUAAGAACGAUAAAGUCUAAUGAAUGCAAGCAUCUGACCUGGAUUCCUUUUAAGGAAGAGGCUCCCAUGUAAAGGAAAACUCCGUACAACACGGGCAUCGGAAUGAACUGGAGGAAGAAACAACAUUUAUAGACUUCUGUGUCAACCGUGUUCAUUUAAACCACAAGAACUUUCUUUUCCAAUUUCUAAAGUCUGUUGGUUUCCUUUAAUGGAAUCAUGAAAAAAUAUUUUACACUAAUUUAUAAGUGCAUAGUAAUAAAGCUCAGAGCUGUUCUGUGAGAUCAACCCACAAAAAAAUACAAAGAUUAGGACAAAGGUAAGGUACAUUACAUGAACAAUCUGAUGUUUUUAUAUUUAACUCAAGCAGCUACUUUAUCUGAUGUCUGAACUAUAAAAAAAUGAUUAAGUAGUGAUUUAACGCCAACUCUGGUGUUAGACAGGAUGAACCCUCCUAGCAUUUUGUGGACUUAGAAAAGUGUCUGUGUUCUGCAAAACACCCGUUAAAAUCCUUUUCCCUUUGGAUUUCAUGAGGUAGAGAUAAAGAAGACUAAUGCCGGGUUCUCACCGCACGCAGAGGUGCAGCGAAGCGGAGUGCGUGGAAUCUGCUUCACACCAGACGUUGAUUUUUCGUGACGGUCGACAGGUGCUUCUGCUCAGCUGUGGCUAUCUGUGAUCGCGGAUUUUGUAUAUUGCCGAAUUAAGCAUUUUCGCGGAUUCGGUAUAUUUGCGGAUUUAACUUAUUCGCGGAUUUGCAGUAUUUGUGGAUCCGGCAUAUUCAUACAUUUUGCAUAUUCGCGGAUUCAAAAUAUUUAUGGUUUCACCAUAUUCGUCGAUUUGCCGUUUUCACAGAUUUGUCGUAUUUGCGGAUUCAGCACAUUUGCGGAUUCGGCAUUUCGGCAGAUUUGGGAUAUUUGCGGAAUUGGCAUCUCUUCACAGAUUCUGCAUAUUGGUAGUUUCUUUGUAUUGGUGGAUUUGACAUAUUCACAGAUUCGGCGUAUUCUCAUCUCUACAGUCUGUUUAGAUGCAAACACAUGAUCCCAUUUGUCAAUAACCUGAAUUUUUUGUGAAAAACGGGUUAUAUUUUGAAAACUGACCAGGUUUUCUCAUGUGUCUUGAUGUAACUUCCUGCCAGGAUUGACACAGAUCGCUUGCUGCUCGCGCAAAAAAACAACCGCGGCGCUUUGUGUCUGGUGUGAACUACACCAAAGGUUAACAAGGGCGUGAAAUGGAGGCGGCGUCCAUUCCGGGUCACUUCGCCACGCUUCCACAUGUGGGGUGAACCCGGCGUAAAGAACUGACCCACUGAACUGUUAAUAAAAUACUCGUCUAAUCUAGUCCUUGCAGUGACUUGCAGACCCGUCGUACCCGCAGGGCCUUCGUCAUGAACACAGAGCAGCCCAUCAACAGGAAAAUCAGCAGGCCGGUGAGUCUCUGCUCCCUGAUGCCCAGGAAGCGAGGCUGCUCUCCCGGAGCUGCACUCUCUGACUCCAGCUUCAGGCUGUUGACAUGAGAGAUGGACAACACGGUGGCCGCCACGAACCACGGCAGACCCAUGAUGGAGCACACGGCCAGCAUCACGCCCACCAUCAACAAAUCCAGAUGCAGUUUGUGCUCUUUGCGGUUGAUGAUGACGGCGGUGAUCUGCUGGUCCAUGAAGAUGAGAAUGGUGCAGAGAAGAGCAGGAAUAGCAGCAGCUACAGCCGUCCACCAGGGGUUACGUCCUAAUGGGCUGAUGAACC